UGCCAGCAGCCGCGGUAAUACGAAGGGCCCGAGCGUUGCGCGGAAUCAUUGGGCUUAAAGCGUACGCAGGCGGACACGCAGGCGUUUUGUGAAAUCCCUCGGCUCAACCGAGGAACUGCUUGACGAACCGUGUGUCUUGAGACAAGUAGGGGCUGUCGGAACGAUAGGUGGAGUGGUGAAAUGCGUAGAUAUAUAUCGGAACGCCAAUGGCGAAGGCAGCUAACUGGGCUUGUUCUGACGCUCAGGUACGAAAGCGUGGGUAGCGAACGGGAUUAGAUA
rnacentral:rRNA from 1 species